AAGACUAUACUUACAGGAUCAUUUCUAUAGUUCGUUACUAGAAUCUCAUGGACAUUCCUGCCUGGACAGGCUUUGAACCAUGAUCCUCAGAUCUCAGCCUCCUGAGUAGC
rnacentral:snoRNA from 1 species